CCCUCCGGCAUCUUUCUGGAUCUUUCUGGCAUUUCUCUGGGGAAUGUACGAUUUCAGUUGAUUCCGGCAAAUGAAUGGCAACGUGGGAAUAAUGCCAGAGAUAUUCUGGCUUUUCACUGGAAUGCCACCCAAAUAACAAAAUCGGUGGUGCAGGAGGGCGGAGCUACAGAUACUUUAUGGUUCUUUCCCGGCAAGUUGGAAUAUUACCAGAAAACAUUUUGUUCGGGUGGGGGGCUUUUUUUAAACCUAGGGCCCAGACAAAGAUGACAGCGGCCCUGCCCUACGGAGACGGUUGACACGCAUGCUCGGUGAGACCGACUUCAUCCUGGGAAUCUUUUCGGCGGGACAGUACAGUAGUCUAGUAACGAACCUGGACUCGAUCUACUACUGAACUAGGAUAUUGUGCUGUGUAAAUUUGCAUUGAGGAGAGUCCAUCAGCUCACUAACACGGGUGAGGGACAGGGACCAAAGAGGAGGCUCUACAACAUGAGGAAAGACGGCGAUCCUCAAGCAGUCAGUCCAUGAGCCCACGUCUUCAGGCCAGGGGCCCGAGAGGAAUUUCCAGUGACAUGGAUCAACAGAGAUCCUCAGACAGUAAGU